UGGGGAAUUUUGCACAAUGGGGGAAACCCUGAUGCAGCGACGCCGCGUGAUUUAGAAGGCCUUCGGGUUGUAAAAAUCUUUUCUAUGGGAAGAAAAUGACAGUACCAUAGGAAUAAGUACCGGCUAAUUACGUGCCAGCAGCCGCGGUAAUACGUAAGGUCCGAGCGUUGUCCGGAAUCAUUGGGCGUAAAGGGUACGUAGGCGGGUAAGCAAGUUAGAAGUGAAAUCCUAUAGCUCAACUAUCGUAAGCUUUUAAAACUGCUCAUCUUGAGGGAGGGCAGGGAAAGAGGAAUUCCUUGUGUAGCGGUGAAAUGCGCAGAUAUUAGGAGGAAUACCGGUGGCGAAGGCAACUUUCUGGCCAGCACCUGACGCUGAGGUACGAAAGCGUGGGUAGCAAACAGG
rnacentral:rRNA from 1 species